UAAAGAGGGGCAAAUCUUGGUUUAAAAAACUUGAAUUCGGCUAUUGUAAUUCUGAGCCCAAAUUCUUUUCCGCCCCAAAUCCACCUAGCCGAAUUUCCCUACUGGUCCAGCUGCCGCCCACCGGGAAUCUCUUCAUUGCGGCGGUGACACUUCAAAGCACCCUAAAUUUUCACAAUACAAUCACCCUCCCUACUCUUUCCAAAUCCACGAUCGAUUUUUCUUAAAUACUCAUUGAACCCUUUCAAUUUCAGAUCUGAAAGUCAAAGGAAAAUCUAGUUUUGCAUGUUUGAGGUUUCUGCAAUUUCAUUGUUCAUUUGGUUCAAACCUCACCCCAAAGAUAUUGUUCUUAACAAGAACAAUCAUUUGGGUCAGUUUCAAGUAUUUCAAAAUAUGCCCAAGAUCAGGCUUCACUCCCUCCUUCUCAUUGGGUAUUUUCUUAUCUUUUUUUUUUGUUUUAUUCUUUUGCAUUUUGUCUGUUCGAAGAAAAUUAAAAGAAGAAUCAAAGUUUGUUUUAAAUUGUUUGCAUUUUUUCGUUUACUAUUUCUCUUUUCUUUUGAUUAAUUAAUUAACAAGUUAGUUUGUGUUAUGAAAUAGAAGAUUCUUACACUUCUAUUUAAGGUGAAUGUCUUUAAUGUAUUU
rnacentral:lncRNA from 1 species